rnacentral:rRNA from 1 species
AGAGUUUGAUCCUGGCUCAGGACGAACGCUGGCGGCGCGCCUAACACAUGCAAGUCGAACGAGCGAGAGAGAGUUUACUUUUUCGAGCGAGUGGCGAACGGGUGAGUAACGCGUGAGGAACCUGCCUCAAAGAGGGGGACAACAGUUGGAAACGACUGCUAAUACCGCAUAAGCCCACGGCUCGGCAUCGAGCAGAGGGAAAAGGAGCAAUCCGCUUUGAGAUGGCCUCGCGUCCGAUUAGCUAGUUGGUGAGGUAACGGCCCACCAAGGCGACGAUCGGUAGCCGGACUGAGAGGUUGAACGGCCACAUUGGGACUGAGACACGGCCCAGACUCCUACGGGAGGCAGCAGUGGGGAAUAUUGCACAAUGGGGGAAACCCUGAUGCAGCGACGCCGCGUGGAGGAAGAAGGUCUUCGGAUUGUAAACUCCUGUUGUUGAGGAAGAUAAUGACGGUACUCAACAAGGAAGUGACGGCUAACUACGUGCCAGCAGCCGCGGUAAAACGUAGGUCACAGCGUGUCCGGAAUUACUGGGUGUAAAGGGAGCGCAGGCGGAAGACAAGUUGGAAGUGAAAUCCAUGGGCUCAACCCAUGAACUGCUUUCAAAACUGUUUUUCUUGAGUAGUGCAGAGGUAGGCGGAAUUCCCGGUGUAGCGGUGGAAUGCGUAGAUAUCGGGAGGAACACCAGUGGCGAAGGCGGCCUACUGGGCACCAACUGACGCUGAGGCUCGAAAGUGUGGGUAGCAAACAGGAUUAGAUACCCUGGUAGUCCACACUGUAAACGAUGAUUACUAGGUGUUGGAGGAUUGACCCCUUCAGUGCCGCAGUUAACACAAUAAGUAAUCCACCUGGGGAGUACGACCGCAAGGUUGAAACUCAAAGGAAUUGACGGGGGCCCGCACAAGCAGUGGAGUAUGUGGUUUAAUUCGACGCAACGCGAAGAACCUUACCAAGUCUUGACAUCCUGCGACGCACAUAGAAAUAUGUGUUUCCUUCGGGACGCAGAGACAGGUGGUGCAUGGUUGUCGUCAGCUCGUGUCGUGAGAUGUUGGGUUAAGUCCCGCAACGAGCGCAACCCUUAUGGUCAGUUACUACGCAAGAGGACUCUGGCCAGACUGCCGUUGACAAAACGGAGGAAGGUGGGGAUGACGUCAAAUCAUCAUGCCCUUUAUGACUUGGGCUACACACGUACUACAAUGGCGUUAAACAAAGAGAAGCAAGACCGCGAGGUGGAGCAAAACUCAGAAACAACGUCCCAGUUCGGACUGCAGGCUGCAACUCGCCUGCAUGAAGUCGGAAUUGCUAGUAAUCGCAGAUCAGCAUGCUGCGGUGAAUACGUUCCCGGGCCUUGCACACACCGCCCGUC